UAAUACAGAGGGUGCGAGCGUUAAUCGGAUUUACUGGGCGUAAAGGGCGCGUAGGCGGUGAGAUGAGUGUGAUGUGAAAGCCCCGGGCUUAACCUGGGAAGGGCAUCGCAAACGAUCUGACUGGAGUAGGUGAGAGGGUGGCGGAAUUUCCGGUGUAGCGGUGAAAUGCGUAGAGAUCGGAAGGAACGUCGAUGGCGAAGGCAGCCACCUGGCACCAUACUGACGCUGAAGCGCGAAAGCGUGGGGAUCGAACAGGAUUAGAUACCCUGGUAGUCCACGCUGUAAACGAUGAGGACUAGAUGUUGUUGGGGGAACCCAGCAGUAUCGAAGCAAACGCGAUAAGUCUUCCGCCUGGGAAGUACGGCCGCAAGGUUG
rnacentral:rRNA from 1 species